GUUUGAGCUCAAGUCAAUGCUCAGUAUCAUCUUCUAAUUUGAGACUUCUAAAGCUUCAAUCAAGCAGUCCUAGCUAUAAAUUUAACUUUUGUGGGUAAGUUUAUUAAAACUUCCUCUCGACAGGGCCGAGAGAGAUCGUCAUCCCCUUCCUCCUUCUCACAGGAGAGAAUCUUUCCACCACAGUCCCUCCUGUUAAUCUUCUUCCAGUGUUGAAAAUCCGGAAAAUUUACCUUUAUCCUAGC
rnacentral:lncRNA from 1 species